UACGUAGGGUGCGAGCGUUAAUCGGAAUUACUGGGCGUAAAGCGUGCGCAGGCGGUUCGUUGUGUCGGUGGUGAAAGCCCCGGGCUCAACCUGGGAAUGGCCAUGGAAACUGGCGAACUGGAGUGUGGCAGAGGGGGGUGGAAUUCCCGGUGUAGUGGUGAAAUGCGUAGAGAUCGGGAGGAACACCCGUGGCGAAGGCGGCUCACUGGGCUGACCUUGACGCUGAGGCGCGAAGGCGUGGGGAGCGAACGGG
rnacentral:rRNA from 1 species